GAGCAUGUUGAAAUUUCAGAAUGAAGUGAAUGUCAGUUGAUCCAUUUCAGAAGUUUGAAAUCGAAAAAGAGAAAAAUAGUGAUAAAUUAGGCUUUUGUAUGAUUGCAGUAUCGUAGUAUCAUAAUUCUCAACAUGAAAAAAUGAUAGCGACAUCCCCAAACACUUGGAAAGUAUUUAUUCCAUGCAAAACAUCAUUCCUUUUCAUUGGAAUGUAUAAAAAACAAGUUUGAGGAGACUUUAAUUAGCCUGUUAUUUAAAGCACUGGCAGCUUUUAGACUGGUCUUCUCUUAACCACUCUGGAAUGUUUUCUCUUGUAAAAUCGACAAACAUGGCUGUACAGAUUUCCAGAGAUUAGUCAGAAGAAUUAGCACAAUCCUCCAUCUGGCUUGUCAUAAGCAAAGGACAAUUUUCAGCACAUAAAAAACUAUAUGUCCACAGUUCUUUGUGUGUGGACUGGAUUACGUUACUAAUAAUGAUAUCGUAAUCUAAGGUUCUUGCUUUGCUUUAGUAAGAGAUAAUUCAUGAUUUCUUUUCCUCUUGUAUACUAACUACAGAAGGAGGGCAGUGUCAAAGUUAACAAUGGAUUAACAGAUGAUAACCUCAUCAUGUGCCUAUAAAAGUGCAUAUGUGCAUGCGGGACACAUGGACGGCUGUAUCCUGACAUUAAAACUGAGCACAUACGAGAACAUACUCCAUUCCUUUCUGACUGAUCAAAAAUGUAUAAUAAAAACUGGCUGAAACCCCCACCUGGCCAGUCUGGAUUUGUCUGAAACAGACCUCUAAAGAAAGAAAGGAAGAAAGAAAGGCUUUUCUUACCUGGAAGUCUGUGGAAAGGAAUUCAGGAAGAUUCCGACCUGUGUACAGUGCGUUGGCCUCUAUUUACAUAAGAAGUCAUAGCAUUGCUCUGUCUCUGAGAUGUGCUCCCUCUCCACAAGGGGCUGGUUUCUCUCCCACAUCCUGCAACCCAACGCUGGGGGUGUAGAGUUACAAAACACAAACAAAGGCGUGAAAGGUAGAAGCAAAAGCAAAUAUUUGAGCCUCUUUUAGAGUAUUGUUGUUCCAUGAACAAUACCUGUAUUAUAUGAAGAAGGGAUGGAUUACCAGGACCUUAAUGGUCAUCAUACUGUGUAUAAGAAUUUCUGAUAAAAAAAAUUGCGCAUAUGCCCUUAGCCUAAAGUCGUUUUGGAUAAAUGAGAAGAUAUGAAUGUACCUGCAAGUGAAACGAGACUGGUGUAAACAGUUCAGUGUAGACAUAAUGUGACAACCUCAGCUACAUUACAGUAUAUUGUAGAUACCUGCUAUAAUUAUAUGCGGAUAUGUAUUGGAGUGAUCCACUUAGCCUCACCUUAGCUUAGCGGAUUGCCCUGUAUGUUUCUCUGCACUUUGUUAAAGCAGUCGUUGAAUCUGUAAUAUUAAAUAAAGGUGAACAGUGGUUCCUUUCAGCUGGGGGCAUUGUAGCAAUCCCAGAAGCCUCA